UACGUAGGGCGCGAGCGUUGUCCGGAUUUAUUGGGCGUAAAGAGCUCGUAGGCGGCUUGUCGCGUCGAAUGUGAAAUCUCCGGGCUCAACUCUGACAUUGCAUUCGAUACGGGCAGGCUCGAGUUCGGUAGGGGAGACUGGAAUUCCUGGUGUAGCGGUGAAAUGCGUAGAGAUCCGGAAGAACACCGGUGGCGAAGGCGGUCUGCUGGGCCAAGACUGACGCUGAGGCGCGACAGCGUGGGGAGCAAACAGG
rnacentral:rRNA from 1 species